CACGUAGUUAGCCGGGGCUUCUUAGUCAGGUACCGUCUUGUCUCGUUCCUGCUGAUAGAGCUUUACAUACCGAAAUACUUCUUCACUCACGUGGCGUCGCUGCAUCAGGGUUUCCCCCAUUGUGCAAUAUUCCCCACUGCUGCCUCCCGUAGGAGUUUGGGCCGUGUCUCAGUCCCAAUGUGGCCGUCCACCCUCUCAGGCCGGCUACUGAUCGUCGCUUUGGUAGGCCGUUACCCUGCCAACUGGCUAAUCAGACGCGGGUCCAUCCCAUACCACCGGAGUUUUUCACACAGGAGCAUGCGCUCCCGUGCGCUUAUGCGGUAUUAGCACCUGUUUCCAGGUGGUAUCCCCCGGUAUGGGGCAGGUUACCCACGCGUUACUCACCCGUCCGCCACUAAGAUCCUUACUUCCAGAGUGCAAGCACCCCUUCCGUCAGCAUCCCCGUUCGACUUGCAUGUGUUAAGCACGCCGCCAGCGUUCAUCCUGAGCCAGGAUCAAACUCU
rnacentral:rRNA from 1 species